ACAGACGGUGCCGUAUCUUUUGAUUCUCUUGAUCGCCAUUUUGAAUUCCUUCCAAUCCUGUUAAACAUGGAUUUAAGUUCGCAGCUGUUUGGUCCAGUCCACUUUUAGUUCAAAAAAACAUACAUCUGGUGAACUCAAUUCCAAAAUAGUCUUGAAGUGGAAACUACUCUUCAAUUUUGUUAUCAACUUGACCCCGCUUCUUUCAGGAACUGGUUUGGUCCUGCUGGCACUUCCUGUCUUACCCUAAGGGGAUUGAACCCCACUCUGCUUCUCCAUGUGCCUUUGCUCUUUAUGCACAACAAUUUCAUACCAGGCUAUCCCCCCUGGCAUGGUUCAUUCCACAGUUCCUAUGCUUUUCAAGCUUGGCAUUGUCUUAUUUGAGUUUUUAAGGUUCUAUACGUCUUCAGGUUAGAUUCUGUUGCCUCGUUUAGACCUAAUUUUAACUGUGAACUUGAACAUAGGAGAAGUGCCUGCCUCGAGUUCAUAUUUUUCAAAGCAGUUAAGGACUGAGAAUAAGCACGGAGGGAUGUGCAGCGUGCAACAACAGAGUCAGGAGUGGCUGUUUGGCGUGAAGAAUUCAGCAGCAUCGAGCGCUUCGGGAAAUUUCACGGGGAAUUGACAGAAGUUUGUUGAAAGAAGGGGAACAAAAGAAUGGAAAACGAAGGAGAGGAAGAAGUACCCUCAAGGUUGCUUAAUGCUGCACUGUAUUCUUUCAUCAUGUGUACCAAAUGAAAAGAAAAAAAGAAACAACACAAAGUAUAAAAGGAAAAGGACAAGAAAGGGCAAGAUCCUUGUUCUUUAGACAAGUCCAAAUGUGGGGAAGGUAAGAAUCUAAGGUGAUCCAAGCACAUGCAGACAAACCUGUUUGAGAAAAUAAAGAAGGACUCGCCCUUUAUGUACGUGAAAAGCAGAUCAACACCGAAGCAUCAACCCUAGAGUCCCCUCAAGCCUCUCUUUCCUCUUUUGCCUUCCCCCCUUCACCUCCCUCUUAUCCUCCAAAAGCCCUUAUGCGCGACUCUUUGAAGAACAAGCUGGAUUUUCUCCUCGCUUCCCCAUCACCAGACGAAGAACAAGUUUAACCUAUCUGAUUCAACCCUGUGGUGACAUCUCGAACGUGGAGCAUUCUGAUGAGGCUAAGUAGGGCAAAAGAUUGCAUUGGGUAAGUGUGCAGACUUGGUGUGCCUGGCUCCCCGUAUGCCAUUUGCAGAGCCCAUCAGCAAAAGUGAUGGCCUUAACGAAUGGCGUGCGAGGAGCCAUGCAUGCUGUGUAAUAUACUGUUCAUCUAUAGUAAAAGCUGAUCUCCUCUGUGCUCUUUCUAGUGUUUCAA